UCUUAUGAAUCAACAAAGAAAGUAGUUUCUUGAGAUGGAAUCUACUGCUGGUGAAGGUGCUGUGAA
rnacentral:pre_miRNA from 3 species